UUAAGUGAAUAAGGGCGCACGGUGGAUGCCUUGGCACUAGGAGCCGAUGAAGGACGGGACUAACACCGAUAUGCUUUGGGGAGCUGUAAGUAAGCUAUGAUCCAGAGAUUUCCGAAUGGGGGAACCCAAUAUCUUUUAUAGGAUAUUACUUUUCAGUGAAUACAUAGCUGAUUAGAGGUAGACGCAGAGAACUGAAACAUCUUAGUACCUGCAGGAAGAGAAAGAAAAUUCGAUUCCCUGAGUAGCGGCGAGCGAAACGGGAAGAGCCCAAACCAACAAGCUUGCUUGUUGGGGUUGUAGGACUCCAAUAUGGUAGUCUGUUAGUAUAGUUGAAGGAUUUGGAAAAUUCCGCUAAAGAGGGUGAAAGCCCCGUAGACGAAAUGCUGACAACACCUAGGAGGAUCCUGAGUACGGCGGAACACGAGAAAUUCCGUCGGAAUCCGCGGGGACCAUCCCGCAAGGCUAAAUACUCCCUAGUGACCGAUAGUGAACCAGUACCGUGAGGGAAAGGUGAAAAGCACCCCGGAAGGGGAGUGAAAUAGAUCCUGAAACCGUGUGCCUACAACAAGUCAAAGCUCGUUAAUGAGUGAUGGCGUGCCUUUUGUAGAAUGAACCGGCGAGUUACGAUUGCAUGCGAGGUUAAGUCGAAGAGACGGAGCCGCAGCGAAAGCGAGUCUGAAUAGGGCGAAUGAGUAUGUAGUCGUAGACCCGAAACCAUGUGAUCUACCCAUGUCCAGGUUGAAGGUGCGGUAAAACGCACUGGAGGACCGAACCCACGUACGUUGAAAAGUGCGGGGAUGAGGUGUGGGUAGCGGAGAAAUUCCAAACGAACUUGGAGAUAGCUGGUUCUCUCCGAAAUAGCUUUAGGGCUAGCCUCGGAAUUGAGAAUGAUGGAGGUAGAGCACUGUUUGGACUAGGGGCCCAUCUCGGGUUACCGAAUUCAGAUAAACUCCGAAUGCCAUUCAUUUAUAUCCGGGAGUCAGACUGCGAGUGAUAAGAUCCGUAGUCGAAAGGGAAACAGCCCAGACCACCAGCUAAGGUCCCAAAAUAUAUGUUAAGUGGAAAAGGAUGUGGGGUUGCACAGACAACUAGGAUGUUAGCUUAGAAGCAGCUAUUCAUUCAAAGAGUGCGUAAUAGCUCACUAGUCGAGUGACCCUGCGCCGAAAAUGUACCGGGGCUAAAACAUAUUACCGAAGCUGUGGAUACCUUUAUAGGUAUGGUAGGAGAGCGUUCUAUGUGCGAAGAAGGUGUACCGUGAGGAGUGCUGGAGCGCAUAGAAGUGAGAAUGCCGGUAUGAGUAGCGAAAGACAGGUGAGAAUCCUGUCCACCGUAUGACUAAGGUUUCCUGGGGAAGGCUCGUCCGCCCAGGGUUAGUCGGGACCUAAGCCGAGGCCGAUAGGCGUAGGCGAUGGACAACAGGUUGAUAUUCCUGUACCAGUUGUUUUUGUUUGAGCAAUGGAGGGACGCAGUAGGCUAAGGAAUGCAUGCGAUUGGAAGUGCAUGUCCAAGCAAUGAGUCUUGAGUAGAGUUAAAUGCUUUACUCUCUAAGGACAAGUUGUGACGGGGAGCGAAAUAAUAGUAGCGAAGUUCCUGAUGUCACACUGCCAAGAAAAGCUUCUAGUGAGAAAACAACUGCCCGUACCGUAAACCGACACAGGUAGUCGAGGAGAGUAUCCUAAGGUGAGCGAGCGAACUCUCGUUAAGGAACUCGGCAAAAUGACCCCGUAACUUCGGGAGAAGGGGUGCUGACUUCGGUCAGCCGCAGUGAAUAGGCCCAAGCGACUGUUUAUCAAAAACACAGGUCUCUGCAAAAUCGUAAGAUGAAGUAUAGGGGCUGACGCCUGCCCGGUGCUGGAAGGUUAAGAGGAUGGGUUAGCUUCGGCGAAGCUCAGAAUUGAAGCCCCAGUAAACGGCGGCCGUAACUAUAACGGUCCUAAGGUAGCGAAAUUCCUUGUCGGGUAAGUUCCGACCCGCACGAAAGGCGUAACGAUUUGGGCACUGUCUCAACGAGAGACUCGGUGAAAUUUUAGUACCUGUGAAGAUGCAGGUUACCCGCGACAGGACGGAAAGACCCCAUGGAGCUUUACUGUAGUUUGAUAUUGAGUGUUUGUACCACAUGUACAGGAUAGGUAGGAGCCGAUGAGACCGGAACGCUAGUUUCGGAGGAGGCGCUGGUGGGAUACUACCCUUGUGUUAUGAACCCUCUAACCCGCACCACUAAUCGUGGUGGGAGACAGUGUCAGAUGGGCAGUUUGACUGGGGCGGUCGCCUCCUAAAAGGUAACGGAGGCGCCCAAAGGUUCCCUCAGAAUGGUUGGAAAUCAUUCGAAGAGUGUAAAGGCAGAAGGGAGCUUGACUGCGAGACCUACAAGUCGAGCAGGGACGAAAGUCGGGCUUAGUGAUCCGGUGGUUCCGCAUGGAAGGGCCAUCGCUCAACGGAUAAAAGCUACCCUGGGGAUAACAGGCUUAUCUCCCCCAAGAGUCCACAUCGACGGGGAGGUUUGGCACCUCGAUGUCGGCUCGUCGCAUCCUGGGGCUGAAGUAGGUCCCAAGGGUUGGGCUGUUCGCCCAUUAAAGCGGCACGCGAGCUGGGUUCAGAACGUCGUGAGACAGUUCGGUCCCUAUCCGUCGCGGGCGUAGGAAAUUUGAGAGGAGCUGUCCUUAGUACGAGAGGACCGGGAUGGACUGACCUAUGGUGUACCAGUUGUUUCGCCAGAAGCAUUGCUGGGUAGCUAAGUCGGGAAGGGAUAAACGCUGAAAGCAUCUAAGUGUGAAGCCCACCUCAAGAUGAGAUUUCCCAUUUCUUUAAGAAAGUAAGACCCCUGAGAGAUGAUCAGGUAGAUAGGUUGGAAGUGGAAGGCUAGUGAUAGUUGGAGCGGACCAAUACUAAUCGGUCGAGGACUUAACCAA
rnacentral:rRNA from 1 species